CGUCUGCAUUAAUAAUGGGUCACGUCUGCAUUAAUAAUGGGUCACGUCUGCACUAAUAAGGGGUCACGUCUGCAUUAAUAAUGGGUCACGUCUGCAUUAAUAAUGGGUCACGUCUGCAUUAAUAAUGGGUCACGUCUGCAUUAAUAAGGGGUCACGUCUGCAUUAAUAAUGGGUCACGUCUGCAUUAAUAAGGUGUCACGUCUGCAUUAAUAAUGGGUCACGUCUGCAUUAAUAAUGGGUCACGUCUGCAUUAAUAAUGGGUCACGUCUGCAUUAAUAAUGGGUCACGUCUGCAUUAAUAAUGGGUCACGUCUGCAUUAAUAAGGGGUCACGUCUGCAUUAAUAAUGGGUCACGUCUGCAUUAAUAAGGGGUCACGUCUGCAUUAAUAAGGUGUCACGUCUGCAUUAAUAAGGUGUCACGUCUGCAUUAAUAAUGGGUCACGUCUGCAUUAAUAAUGGGUCACGUCUGCAUUAAUAAGGGGUCACGUCUGCAUUAAUAAGGUGUCACGUCUGCAUUAAUAAGGUGUCACGUCUGCAUUAAUAAUGGGUCACGUCUGCAUUAAUAAUGGGUCACGUCUGCAUUAAUAAGGGGUCACGUCUGCAUUAAUAAUGGGUCACGUCUGCAUUAAUAAUGGGUCACGUCUGCAUUAAUAAGGGGUCACGUCUGCAUUAAUAAUGGGUCACGUCUGCAUUAAUAAGGGGUCACGUCUGCAUUAAUAAGGUGUCACGUCUGCAUUAAUAAGGGGUCACGUCUGCAUUAAUAAGGGGUCACGUCUGCAUUAAUAAUGGGUCACGUCUGCAUUAAUAAGGGGUCACGUCUGCAUUAAUAAGGUGUCACGUCUGCACUAAUAAGGGGUCACGUCUGCAUUAAUAAGGUGUCACGUCUGCAUUAAUAAGGGGUCACGUCUGCACUAAUAAGGGGUCACGUCUGCAUUAAUAAGGGGUCACGUCUGCAUUAAUAAGGGGUCACGUCUGCAUUAAUAAGGGGUCACGUCUGCAUUAAUAAGGUGUCACGUCUGCAUUAAUAAGGGGUCACGUCUGCAUUAAUAAGGUGUCACGUCUGCAUUAAUAAUGGGUCACGUCUGCAUUAAUAAGGGGUCACGUCUGCAUUAAUAAUGGGUCACGUCUGCAUUAAUAAUGGGUCACGUCUGCACUAAUAAGGGGUCACGUCUGCAUUAAUAAUGGGUCACGUCUGCAUUAAUAAUGGGUCACGUCUGCAUUAAUAAUGGGUCACGUCUGCAUUAAUAAUGGGUCACGUCUGCAUUAAUAAUGGGUCACGUCUGCAUU